AUUGAACGCUGGCGGCAUGCCUUACACAUGCAAGUCGAACGGUAACAGGUCUUCGGAUGCUGACGAGUGGCGAACGGGUGAGUAAUACAUCGGAACGUGCCCGAGAGUGGGGGAUAACGAGGCGAAAGCUUUGCUAAUACCGCAUACGAUCUCAGGAUGAAAGCAGGGGACCGCAAGGCCUUGCGCUCACGGAGCGGCCGAUGGCAGUUUAGGUAGUGGGUGGGAUAAAAGCUUACCAAGCCGACGAUCUGUAGCUGGUCUGAGAGGACGACCAGCCACACGGGGACUGAGCCACGGCCCAGACUCCUCCGGGAGGCAGCAGUGGGGAAUUUUGGACAAUGGGCGCAAGCCUGAUUCAGCCAUGCCGCGUGCAGGAUGAAGGCCUUCGGGUUGUAAACUGCUUUUGCACGGAACGAAAAGACUCCUUCUAAUAAAGGGGGUCCAUGACGGUACCGUAAGAAUAAGCACCGGCUAACUACGUGCCAGCAGCCGCCGUAAUAC
rnacentral:rRNA from 1 species